UGGCAUUUCUGCCUCAGCAACAGAGGAUAAAAGUCAUGUUGUGAUGGAUAAGUCACAAAAGUAAAAAAUACAGACGUGGACUACAGGCCUCCAAAGAAGAAUUGAGCAUGCUGAGGAUCGAUGCCAGACAUUGGACAUUUUUGAGGUGUUAAGAGAUGUGCAUGCUUCCAACAUUGUGAAGAUGUGUGUGCUUUCCAGUCACCUUCCACCAUGACUGUAAGUUUUCUGAGGCUGCCC
rnacentral:lncRNA from 10 species